rnacentral:lncRNA from 1 species
ACAGAUCUUCCCAAUGAAUCCUUCUCCUCCGUAGCCUAGGCGUUCUCCGCCGUAAGAGUAACCGCCGCCGCGGGCCAAUGGCACUCUCUUUAACUACGGUGAUACACUUGUUUUUUUGACUUGUUUAUUUAUAAUUUGAAAGCUUCUUUAUCUGGUUGGCAAGAAAUUAUCCAUUUUUGACCAACUCGUUCCCUAGAAGCUAUAGUGUGUGUGUUGCUCCUUUUUAUAUUUCUCCUUCAUUAACCCCUUUUUUCUUAAUUUGUGUUUGGAGUUCACUGGGGCAGCUACAAUUAUUUUUUAAACAGUUUUUUUGAUAGGGGUGAACAACAGUGAUGAGCUAUUUAUACAGACACAGACCUGUAAUGAUUUGCGAAAAUGAUCGCAAUUUAUGAACAUCUAAGGGACUGAGUUUGUUCACCUCUUUCUAAUUUUAUCUCUUGAUUAUACUGCCGUUUAAGAUUAGAUAUAAUUUAAUUUUUUAAUAAAUGAGAAUUUGUGGAUUAACGAUGAUGAGCUAUUUAUACAGACACAGACCUGUAAUGAUUUGCGAAAAUGAUCGCAAUUUAUGAACAUCUAAGGGACUGAGUUUGUUCACCUCUUUCUAAUUUUAUCUCUUGAUUAUACUGCCGUUUAAGAUUAGAUAUAAUUUAAUUUUUUAAUAAAUGAGAAUUUGUGGAUUAACGAUGAUGAGCUAUUUAUACAGACACAGACCUGUAAUGAUUUGCGAAAAUGAUCGCAAUUUAUGAACAUCUAAGGGACUGAGUUUUUCCACUCAAUUCCAAAAAUUUGUGGCUUUUACUAUGCUUUGCUUAUCUAAUUAUUUAUUGGGCCACACAUUGUUGUGUGGUUCUUUAACAAGUGAAGCUAAAAAGAAUGUUCCUCUCGCUAUCCUUUGCUUCAUUUAUGGUGUAUUUGGACGUUGGGGUACUACAUUCUUUAUGUUUAUUAAUCUGUUUUGUUCCUAUUAUUUCACUGCAUAUUGAAUUGACUGUAGUUGUAUGUUUUGGCUCUUUAUGCUUCGCUAUCUGGUUGGCAAAAUUCAGUUGUUUUUGAUCUACUCGUUCCCUUGAAGCAACAGUGAUCGUGAUGCUCUGUAUUUAUAUCUCUCUCCAUGCUUCCUUUUGUAUUGCGGUUGGACAACACUGGGUCAUCUAUAUUUUAUAAUACAAUUGUAUUUGUAGAACACUGCAAUAUUUUGGUAUCAUCAUUUUCCCUGCAGGAAGAUAAUUCUGCUGUGUGGAAGGAAGGUAUAUAUAUGGGAUGUUGUAAAUGUUGCGAUUUUAUUUAAACUAUGCUUUGCUUGACUAUUUAUGUAUUGGGACGCACAUUGUUGUGCGAUACUUUUUCAAGUCAAGCUAGAGAGAAUGUUCCUCUAAUCUAAUGUCAGAUUAUAGUUUUAUCUUUUUUGGCUGUAAUGCUUCGCUAUCUGGUUGGCUUAAUUCACAACAAUUUGCUUAUAGAAAUAAAUUAGUAUUCCUUUCCUAUACAGAGAGACCUUUUUUUCAAGUUACACCAUAAAAGAAAUUUAUUAGCUUUCUUUUAUUUCAGAUCGAUGUAUGUCUAUUAAG